AUGUCAGGGAGGAGAAACAGAGGCGGAGCAAGCGCGCCUCCUGCACUUGCCCCUCCUGGACCCGGAGAGAGGCCACCGCCACCCUCCCAGAGCUCCAGGAGGCCGGCGGCCGCCACCUUGGAACAGCGGCUGCGUUCCAGUGUCGAGCGGGAGAUAGACGAGGCCAGGGUCAUGCAGCGCGCCCCCUCCCACUCCACCUCCGCCCCGUCAUCAUCGCGGUCAAGCUUCUGGCCGCGAGCGCGGCAGGCGGCUAGGAAGGUUCUUGGCAUCAGCAAGAAACCCUCCGCGAGGUCAGCAGCAGGAACCCCGCACGGGCAGGAGACGGUACCUGAGGCCACCGGCACGUCGGAGUCGGCGGCCGUGGCGGCGGCAAGAACUGGCACCGGUGAUGAAGCCGGGUCGGGGCAGCAGCCUGUAGAGGUCGCCCCCACGCGGUCUGAGUUCGCCGCCAUGAUGCAAACUGCGUUGGCGAAGAUCCAGGAGGGUGACGCGGCCGACGACCAAGCCAAACGGCAGGCAGCGAUCGCCGAGAUGGAGAAGGCAAUGACGUUCGCCGAGAUGGAGAAGGCAAUGACUGCGUUGAUGAAGAUCCAGGAGGAUGCCGCGGCCGGCGACGAAGCCCAAGGGCAGGCAGCGUUCGCCGAGAUGGAGAAGGCAAUGACCGGCCUCAUGGACCUCUCCCACAAGAAGACAUCGGGGCCACCGAAACUCCCUCGCGAUUUCGCUACCAAAUGGCCUCAUAGCGAUGGCGAUCCACUGCUUGAACGAGUAAUGAAAGAUCCUAUUAUAUUGGCUUCUGGAUAUACUGUUGAUAAAUCAUGCCAACAGUGGUCCCUUGCACAGAAAAAUACCUGCCCUGUUACUGGUCACUCCUUGCCCCACUCACUCACUGCUCCAAACCACCUCCUCCAUGACAUGAUUGCUGAGUGGUGCCUCGACCACUCUAAUCUUGCCCGCUCCAGCAUUGGACGCUCGCUCCCCUUGGUGCCACCUGCAGAGGAUGAAAUUCAAGAGAUCCUAGAACUGUUCUCAGGGCAUUCAGUACGGCAGAAAGAGGCCUUGCGGAUGCUAAAUCUAAUGUCCAAAACAUCCAAGGGAAUGCAACCUUGCCUUGCCAAGUGGCCAGAGCUGACCCCACUGCUGAUGGAUCUUAGGAAGCACUGGAUGAAUGUAUGGUCAGCUGAUAUUGAGGCGCAGAGGAUCUCAUUAAUCCAUAAUUUGUCCAUGCACAGGCCCAACAGGGAGAUCCUAGCCGGUCAGAAUGAAGUACCAGCUGUUCUAAAGAAUGUCGUCGAGAGGGCAGGAAAGCUUGGACUUUCAGCAUCAUUGUUGGCCAUGGUAGCUUCUAUAAUUGCAACACUGUCAGAGUUUGAUGUGUUCAGGAAAAGAAUGGUGACAAUAGGGGGAAUGAAAAUGCUCAGUGGUCUACUCAAGAUUGAGGAUGUUGUACUAAGGAAGGAGACUGGCGCUGCAAUCCUUGCACUCUGUGCAGAUGAGGAGGCCAAGUUAUCAGCUGCUGUUAGUGACGUGCCUGAUAAGCUGCUGGAAUGCUUCAUGGCCACCGAUGAGUUCCUGCUCCUGCUCGACCGUCUACCAAAAUCUCCAGAGGCGCUGAACAUGAUCUGUGACAAGGCUAUGGAAUUGGUGAAUAUCGUCAUGGAGGAAGAUGCUGGUGGAAUGGUGACCUCUCAGGGCAUCCACUCUGCGAUCUCCUUGAUCUUCGUCAUUACUGAGAGGGAUGUGGGUAAGCUGAAGGUGAAGAACGUGGAGGAUUUCAAGGAGCGGCUGCGGGAGCUUUCGUCCAAGAGAAUACCGAUGCAGACAAUGUUUCAGGUGGAAAAAAUAACUAAGACGCUGUCAGAAAUGUUUCCAGCUCCGACGACGCAGUUACAGAACCAGUAG
rnacentral:rRNA from 1 species